AUCUGAUUAGAUCUGAGCUGCACUCAAUGAUGUUAGAAUUAGAAAUUAAUUUUGUAUAUUUUAUGGACAAGUAACUUUAAAGUGAAAAAAAAAACAGAAAAGCACUGUCUUUGUCUCUUUGUGAAUGAAGUGUUAUUUCGAAAUAACAUUUAGGCAACUUGUCUUUUUUUAACUAAAACAGUAAGUAUAACUGUAUAAGGUUAUGUGACACACAAAAAAACUGUUCUAAAGGUUUAAGUGUACCGUUUUACCGGAUGUCGGUGAGAGCAAGUGGUGUUGAUUGUGAAAUGAAGAUGAAUAAAAAUAAAAGGAAGUGUUCUGUGAACUAUGGUGGGUUACAUUUGGGUGAUAGUGAGAUAAAAUGUUAGGCAAACGCUAGUAUUCAAGUGUUCAAAUGAUCAUUUACUCUGGAUUAUUGAAAGGAAGAGAUGAGGUUUUUUUUUUUUUUGCUACUGCAAGGGAGUUUUAUAGGAUGGUAUACACAGUCGCCAUGAUUCCUUGUUGUUUACAAAAUAAACCUUUUGAGUGGUUUGUGGAGAUUGUAAUUCUAAAAUGAGAAGAGCAUUCAAAACUGCAAUGAUUAGGAAUGUUGGUUUUUCAAAACUUGGUGAUAGAUUGUUCGAUGUUCGUCUAAAAUUUCAUGGACCUCCUUUUACUUGGUGCAGUUAGAAGAGAUACUUAUUUGUUGCAAGAAGUUAGACAAUUUUUUAGCGAAUGGCUGGAUUGUUACCCAAGAUCAUAUAGUUGUUUCUGAAGUUGGUUGUUGUUCAGAUCGUUUUAAGUUGGAAGUUGAAGCUGCUAGAAAACAUAGACCAUUUAAAUUCAUGAAUGUUAUCAACAGUUCCCUUUGGCAGUUGAACGUUUCUGGGAUACCCACCAAGCAUCAAAUACGGAAAAACUUCAGGAUAAUUCAGUCUAGAUCUUGUUGGAUUAAUGGUCAAAUUGUUAUCAGUAACAUCUUCCGGCGACCAUCUAUGUUCAAAUCAAGCCAUAUUUGUUAUAGUGUCUGGUCGCGUGACAUGAUUGAAUCUACAAGCGAACAAAGAGUGGACGAUCCAAACGAGCACCACCAGACAACGGAGCAGAGAGCUCAAUUCAGUUAUGUGUCGAGAGAGAAGGUAGGUGAGAAGUGCAGAGGAACUUGUCCUUUGAAGUGUAUAUCUAUCCUUCUUUGUAAGACAUUGGCGAACCCAUUCGUUUUGAGUGCAACGUAGAUUUGUUUAACGGUCACACAGAAGUAAAUAUUAUUCUCAUAUGAAUAGAACAUGAAAACAGAAGUAGAAAAUGAGUAUAAGUAAACGAUAACUAAAGCACAUGAAAAGCAAUCAACAAAAAUAUAUAGAGUGCGUAUCUUACGACUUCACUGAGUAAAAAUUAGGUGGAAACAAGAAAGAAAAGAUACAGACAUCAUCAAAGAGCAUGUAGAUUGUUCCAAUCGGCUG